rnacentral:lncRNA from 1 species
ACUGAAAGGUAUUAGGCCUACAGGAAGAAGACAUUUCCCAGCCUCCUUUCAUCUAUGUUGGGACCGUGUGACCUGUUGUCCACUAGAAUGUAAGUGAAAUGAAAUAAACUACUUCUAGGCCUGGCUCCUCCACUUUCCACUGGAUCCUCCAUUCCUCUCUCUGUCUUCCUUCUUAAACUAUGUGGCUAGAAACAUAGUUUAAGACUCUCAAAGGGUAGAGACACAUGAUAUAAGAAGCCUAUAUUCUGAGUGAUAUCUUAGAUGAUGAGAGCACUGCCUCACCCCAAAAAAGAGUGAAGAAGAAAUUCUUGUUGUGUUAAGCCACUGAUAUUUGGGGCUAUCACAGGAACUGGUGUGAAUCAUUCUGACCAUUACAAUCUUCUAUAAAGUCUUACAGAAAAUAUUUA